rnacentral:rRNA from 1 species
UACGUAGGUGGCAAGCGUUGUCCGGAUUUACUGGGCGUAAAGGGCGUGCAGGCGGUUUGUUAAGUGCAGGGUGAAAGCUCCCGGCUCAACUGGGAGAGGUCCUUGCAUACUGGCAGACUUGAGGGAGGCAGAGGAAAGUGGAAUUCCCGGUGUAGUGGUGAUAUGCGUAGAUAUCUGGAGGAACACCGGUGGCGAAGGCGGCAUCCUGGACCGAGAUUGACGCUGAGGCGCGAAAGCCAGGGGAGCAAACGGG